CCUAUGGGUGGCAGCAGUGGGGAAUAUUGCACAAUGGGGGGAACCCUGAUGCAGCGACGCCGCGUGAGUGAAGAAGUAUUUCGGUAUGUAAAGCUCUAUCAGCAGGGAAGAAAAUGACGGUACCUGACUAAGAAGCCCCGGCUAACUACGUGCCAGCAGCCGCGGUAAUACGUAGGGGGCAAGCGUUAUCCGGAAUCAUUGGGCGUAAAGAGUUCGUAGGCGGUAUGUUAAGUCUGGUGUUAAAUGCAGAAGCUCAACUUCUGUUCGGCACUGGAUACUGGCAAACUAGAAUGCGGUAGAGGUAAAGGGAAUUCCUGGUGUAGCGGUGAAAUGCUUAGAUAUCAGGAGGAACAUCGGUGGCGUAAGCGCUUUACUGGGCCGUAAUUGACGCUGAGGAACGAAAGCCAGGGUAGCAAAUGGGAUUAGAUACCCUGGUAGUC
rnacentral:rRNA from 1 species